rnacentral:rRNA from 1 species
UACGGAGGGUGCAAGCGUUAUCCGGAUUCACUGGGUUUAAAGGGUGCGUAGGCGGAUUGGUAAGUCCGUGGUGAAAUCCCCGAGCUUAACUUGGGAACUGCCGUGGAUACUAUCAGUCUUGAAUGUCGUGGAGGUAAGCGGAAUAUGUCAUGUAGCGGUGAAAUGCUUAGAUAUGACAUAGAACACCAAUUGCGUAGGCAGCUUACUACUCGAUCAUUGACGCUGAGGCACGAAAGCGUGGGGAGCAAACAGG